ACUUCAAUGAACCUUUAUCUAGCGGAACACAAAACAGAACUGGUUCUUAUAAGCGGAAAGAAAAAGAGAGAAUCCCUAACAAUACAGGUAGGUGAUAGCUCUAUAACAUCCGUAGAGGCAAUAAAAUAUCUGGCAAUCAUGGUCGAUGACCGACUCAACUUUAAAGAGCACAUACGCUAUUCGUGCGAGAAAGCUGCAAGAAUAACAAAUGCAUUAUCAAGAAUGAUGCCAAACAUUGGUGGUCCAUGCCAGAGUCGUAGACUACUCUUAUUCAGAGUCACUAACUCGGUGAUUCUAUAUGGAGUCCCGAUUUGGGAGUCGUCGAUAAGAAACUGUUCGAAAAAACAUAUGCUCUCAGUAUACCGGAGAAACUGUAAGAGUCUGUAGCGGCUAUAGAACAAUAUCUGUAGAGGCGGCAAGUGUUGUUGCGGGAAUUCCUCCCAUUGACAUUUCAGCUAAAGAACUUGCAAACGUUUACAAGCAACUUGCAAGUAAUGACGAAACACCCAGAAACCAUAUUCGGGAAAUCGAAAAGGAACACACUAUGGCAAGUUGCCAAAGAAGAUGGGAAAAUUCUCCAUAGUAAUGACGAAACACCCAGAAACCAUAUUCGGGAAAUCGAAAAGGAACACACUAUGGCAAGUUGCCAAAGAAGAUGGGAAAAUUCUCCAAAGGGCAGAUGGAUAUACAGAUUAAUACCACGUAUACAAGUCUGGGUACAACGAAAACAUGGUGAGGUAAACUACAACCUCACUCAAUUUCUCACAGGACACGGGGGAUACAGAAGUUAUCUUCAUAAACACGGACACGACAAGUCUCCAAGGUGUCCACAAUGCCCUGAAGAAGACGAAACCGCAGAACACGUAACAUUCAAGUGUCCUCGGUUUGACGCACUCAGAUCGAGGCUGAUCCUCCACAUUGGCGAAGAUAUAACGGUAGACAAUAUCAUAAAUAAUAUUAUAAAAGCCGAAGAAAACUGGAAUGCUUUUAAUCAAUAUCUUACAGCAGUACAUAGACAAUUAUGCGAAAUAGAAAGACACCGAAAGAUUUUGCCAAAAACAUCUCGGAUGAAGGAUGUAUUCGAUGUGGACUUCAAGCAACAUUAGCAUUUUUCAAUACGGGUAAAGGUUCUGACUUGAAAUGAUACCAACAACAGCAUUAUAACUAAAUACACGAAUGAAGGAAUAAAACUAAUGUAAGAGCAAAUAUCAAAUGAUAACUGUGCACUUUAAACGAAUAUCCAGGCAUUUUUAUACAAAUUCGUAUUCUAGCGGAGGCUACAGCUAUACCCACCCAUCUACAUUUUCCAGUUAAGCUAGAAAAGGAAAUAUCACAUUUGUUAUACUUUUUUUGUUUCUGUUGAAUUCUUAACAAUUAUAAAAGACUUAAAACAGUUAAUAAAAUAAUUACCAGUAAAUGUUGAGAAAAGGCUCUAAAGGAUUUCAUAGCUAAAAGUGUACACUACAAUGGGUAGUACUUAACAUUAUAUAAUAUGUAAUUAAAAAAGAACUGUUUUCAAUAUUAUGAAGGGAAACAUUUACUAAGGAGUGAGAUCG
rnacentral:misc_RNA from 1 species